rnacentral:misc_RNA from 1 species
AACGCACAUUGCGCCCCUUGGUAUUCCGAGGGGCAUGCCUGUUCGAGCGUCAUUACACCCCUCAAGCCUGGCUUGGUAUUGGGCUUCGUCGAUAACUCGGCGGGCCUUAAAAACAUUCGCAGUGCCGCGUGGUCCUGAGCGUAGUAAAUAUCCUCGCUUUAGGUGCCUCGUGGCGUCUGUUAGAUCCCCCACCUCUUAGUUUGACCUCGGAUCAGGUAGGGAUACCCGCUGAACUUAA